UACGUAGGGUACAAGCGUUAAUCGGAAUUACUGGGCGUAAAGCGUGCGCAGGCGGCUUUGCAAGACAGAUGUGAAAUCCCCGGGCUCAACCUGGGAACUGCAUUUGUGACUGCAUGGCUGGAGUGCGGCAGAGGGGGAUGGAAUUCCGCGUGUAGCAGUGAAAUGCGUAGAUAUGCGGAGGAACACCGAUGGCGAAGGCAAUCCCCUGGGCCUGCACUGACGCUCAUGCACGAAAGCGUGGGGAGCAAACAGG
rnacentral:rRNA from 1 species